rnacentral:lncRNA from 1 species
ACAAAUUAUUUAUCGGUCACAAAUUUUACUCAAUCACAAAUAAAAUUUUUUAUAGAUCACAAUUUAUUUAUUAAUUAUAAAUCACAAAUUUUAUAAACCACAACUUCUUUACCGGUGACAUGAUCAAAUUAAUUUAUCACAAUUUAUUUUCCAAUCACAAUUUAAUAAUUUGUGAAACACAAUCACAUUUUUAAGAUCACAUGGUCACAAAUUAAUAAAUUUAUUGAUCACAAUCAACCAAAAUAAUUUAUCAUUGACACUCCCAUGUUAUCCCACCCACAACCACAACAAUGCAAAGCCACCGUCACAAUAACAUAAACCACCACAACAACAAAAAACCCAUUAGAUCACGAUAUCACCGAACACCUGGCACUAGAUCACAAGGCUUUGAGAUCUGCAGCACCCCUUUCGAUUUGUAGCAACCAAGUAGCACAUUCGAUUUGCAGCAUCGGCCACGAAGAAAAAUGGAAGAAAUUAUAUCCUCAAUUUGCAGCAUCCCUCAUGUAGCGUUGAGCACUACGAUCGAGGCUUUAAGAUCCCCCACCACCGCCGCCAACAAUCAAAAUCCAAUAUCCAACACUGAGUGCCUUGAGAUCCUCAACGACGUUAUUGCUUCAUCAACAGAUAUUCGAUUUAUUGUUGAGCUUUUCAUUUGCCUCCAUCCACUACCCUCGCAACAGUGCCAGCUAUUGUAAUGAAUGUGUGUGUGAGAGAGAGAGAGAGAGAGAGAUGGGAAUGGAACAAUAUAGAGAGAGAAA